rnacentral:rRNA from 1 species
CCUACGGGAGGCAGCAGUGGGGAAUAUUGGACAAUGGGGGAAACCCUGAUCCAGCAAUGCCGCGUGUGUGAAGAAGGCCUUCGGGUUGUAAAGCACUUUCAGUGGGGAAGAAAGAACCAAAAUUAAUACUUUUGGGUGUUGACGUUACCCACAGAAGAAGCACUGGCUAACUCUGUGCCAGCAGCCGCGGUAAUACAGAGAGUGCAAGCGUUAAUCGGAAUUACUGGGCGUAAAGCGCGCGUAGGUGGAUAUUUAAGUCGGAUGUGAAAUCCCUGGGCUUAACCUAGGAAUUGCACCCGAUACUGGGUAUCUAGAGUAUGGUAGAGGGAAGUGGAAUUUCCGGUGUAGCGGUGAAAUGCGUAGAUAUCGGAAAGAACACCAGUGGCGAAGGCGGCUUCCUGGACCAAUACUGACACUGAGGCGCGAAAGCGUGGGGAGCAAACAGGAUUAGAUACCCCUGUAGUC